rnacentral:rRNA from 1 species
CGUAACAAGGUUUCCGUAGGUGAACCUGCGGAAGGAUCAUUAUCUAUUCCAUGAGGUGUGGUCGCGGCCCUCGGUGGGAGCAAUACUGCUGCCACCGGGCGGUAGAGGUAACACUUUCACGCGCCACAUGUCUGAAUCCUUUUUUUUACGAGCACCUUUCGUUCUCCUUCGGUGGGGCAACCUGCCGUUGGAACCUAUCAAAACCCUUUUUUUGCAUCUAGCAUUACCUGUUCUGACACAAACAAUCGUUACAACUUUCAACAAUGGAUCUCUUGGCUCUGGCAUCGAUGAAGAACGCAGCGAAAUGCGAUAAGUAGUGUGAAUUGCAGAAUUCAGUGAAUCAUCGAAUCUUUGAACGCACAUUGCGCCCCUUGGUAUUCCAUGGGGCAUGCCUGUUCGAGCGUCAUCUACACCCUCAAGCUCUGCUUGGUGUUGGGCGUCUGUCCCGCCUCUGCGCGCGGACUCGCCCCAAAUGCAUUGGCAGCGGUCCUUGCCUCCUCUCGCGCAGCACAUUGCGCUUCUCGAGGUGCGCGGCCCGCGUCCACGAAGCAACAUUACCGUCUUUGACCUCGGAUCAGGUAGGGAUACCCGCUGAACUUAA